rnacentral:rRNA from 1 species
GACGAACGCUGGCGGCGUGCCUAAUACAUGCAAGUUGAGCGCUGAAGGUUGGUACUUGUACCAACUGGAUGAGCAGCGAACGGGUGAGUAACGCGUAGGGAAUCUGCCUUUGAGCGGGGGACAACAUUUGGAAACGAAUGCUAAUACCGCAUAAAAACUUUAAACACAAGUUUUAAGUUUGAAAGAUGCAAUUGCAUCACUCAAAGAUGAUCCCGCGUUGUAUUAGCUAGUUGGUGAGGUAAAGGCUCACCAAGGCGAUGAUACAUAGCCGACCUGAGAGGGUGAUCGGCCACAUUGGGACUGAGACACGGCCCAAACUCCUACGGGAGGCAGCAGUAGGGAAUCUUCGGCAAUAGACGAAAGUCUGACCGAGCAACGCCGCGUGAGUGAAGAAGGUUUUCGGAUCGUAAAACUCUGUUGGUAGAGAAGAACGUUGGUGAGAGUGGAAAGCUCAUCAAGUGACGGUAACUACCCAGAAAGGGACGGCUAACUACGUG